GGAAGAUGAAGGUGGCUGUGCUCAGCGUGGCCCUGCUCUUCUCCAUCCUUCUGUGCCUGCCAGCUCAGAGCCAGGCCAACAUGGAGGGCAGCGGAGUGAUCUGUGCUGGACAAAUCGGUGGCAUUGGUGAUGGCCAGUCCGGGAUCGUGGGAGGCAUUCGAGGCUGCAUCAA